UAGUCCACGCCGUAAACGAUGUCAACUAGCCGUCGGGCUCAAUAUAAGGGUUUGGUGGCGAAGCUAACGCACUAAGCACACCGCCUGGGGAGUACGGUCGCAAGAUUAAAACUCAAAGGAAUUGACGGGGACCCGCACAAGCGGUGGAGCAUGUUGUUUAAUUCGACGCAACGCGAAGAACCUUACCUACACUUGGCAUACUCGUCGGGGAUUACAGAGAUGUUUUCCUUCGGUUCGGCCGGACGAUGUACAGGUGCUGCACGGCUGUCGUCAGCUCGUGUCGUGAGAUGUUUGGUUAAGUCCAGCAACGAGCGCAACCCCUAUCGUAUGUUACCAGCAUUUAGUUGGGGACUCAUGCGAGACUGCCGGUGUUAAGCCGGAGGAAGGUGGGGACGACGUCAAGUCAUCAUGGCCCUUACGUGUAGGGCUACAAACGUGCUACAAUGGAUACUACAGUGGGCAGCAACGUCGCGAGGCGGAGCUAAUCCCAAAAAGUAUUCUCAGUCCGGAUAGGACU
rnacentral:rRNA from 1 species